GAGCCCUUGUACUAUUAGCUAGUUGGUGAGAUAACAGCUCACCAAGGCGACGAUGGUUAGCUGGUCUGAGAGGAUGAUCAGCCACACUGUAACUGAGACACGGUCCAGACUCCUACGGGAGGCAGCAGUGAGGAAUAUUGCGCAAUGGGGGAAGCCCUGACGCAGUGACGCCGCGUGAGUGAUGAAGGCUUUCGAGUCGUAAAGCUCUGUGAGGUGGAAAGUGACGGUACCACCAGAGGAAGCACCGGCUAACUCCGUGCCAGCAGCCGCGGUAAUACGGAGGGUGCAAGUGUUGUCCGGAAUAAUUGGGCGUACAGGGCGUGUAGGCGGUUAGGCAAGUCAGAUGUGAAAUCCCUUGGCUUAACCAAGGAAGUGCAUUUGAAACUGCUUGACUAGAGUACAGGAUGGGAAAGUGGAUUCCCAGUGUAGAGGUGAAAUUAUUGAU
rnacentral:rRNA from 1 species